UACCCGGGAGGAACCUGCGUGUGAAUGAGACGGCUGUCAGCAAGCCUACACUCAAAGGAUUUACCCGGUGCAGAGAGCUCCAAGAGAACACCAGAGCCCCUGGUAUUCUGGUUCACUUGAAUAUGUCCUCCUGCCUAUUCCAUAUUUUUUUCACACAUAUAAUCAUUUGUUUGCAGUCUGGAACUAUAAAACCAUUCAAGAAACGGAGGCCCAACUAUUGGGUUUGCGUCCUCAUCUGCCUUUCCAGACCAGCAGUUCCUAAAAGCCAGUGUGAGAACCAUCUGCAUCAGAGUGACCAGUCUGUGAAGAUCAAGCAUAGGAAUGCCAGGACUCCACCCUAGAUGUCCUUUAUCUGGGGUGGUGCCCAGGCUUCCCGAUUAUUCUACAAACUCUACCAAAUCCUUGUUCUUCGUUGCACAAUUAGCUGUGAAACAGACAGAGGUUACCUACAAUAAGUGCAUGUCAUUUUGGACUAGCCAUAUUUCAAGGGCUCAAUAUGGCUAAUGGCCACCAUAUUGGACAUCGACGGUCAAACCCAUUUUACAUUCACCUGACAACUAUGAUUGGUGUGAGGCCUAUGAUGGCCCAACUAGGCUGACAGCAAAGAUCUUUCCUGUUGGCAAAGAUCAUCUUUCUCUCUCCUGCUGGCAAGAACAAGAAAGAAUAAAGGUCUGAUCAACCCAUGAGCUUUCUUGGGAUUUAUGAGGAGAACCAGACUUUGGAUGAAACUGACAUUGAAAUGAGCAGGAUGGAGAGAAAAAUCCCAGGGGUUUGGUGACAAUACUGGGCUGCUGAUUAAACUUGGAGUUUGCCCUGACUCUGAACUUUCUAUUUAGUGAGAUAAUAAUUGUCUCAAUUGUUUAAGCUAGCUUGUGUUGCUUCCAGCUAAAAGAGUGCCAGCUAUAUACAAUGUGCAAGCUGACAUGUUGUCAUGCUCUGACACUGAUGAACACACCCCCACAAGGCUGUGAAGUAAUAGGGGAAGAACUAACCUGCAUGGAGUUGGAAGGGGGGGAAAAAACAAAAUCAAACCAUAUGGAAAGCAGUUGAAUUCACUGCAUUAAAUAUACUUUUUAAAAUGUACAACAUAAUAGCCAUAUGUUUAAGUCAGAAUCAUCUGCAAAGCACGCAUGUUCACUUUCUGUUCCAGAGUCAGGCGUCUGAAUUCUGUGAGCAAAGCCUAGAGAAAAAAACUAAGGCUAUGCCAGAUUUACAGGAAUAGUUAUCUUUAUAAAGACUAUAUGAACUGUAAUACAAAGUUACAAAGCUGAAGGCAAAGCUAUUCAAUAAAGCAAGUGGCUCUCAAAGAGA